rnacentral:rRNA from 1 species
GUGGGGAAUCUUGCGCAAUGGGCGAAAGCCUGACGCAGCCAUGCCGCGUGAAUGAUGAAGGUCUUAGGAUUGUAAAAUUCUUUCACCGGGGACGAUAAUGACGGUACCCGGAGAAGAAGCUCCGGCUAACUUCGUGCCAGCAGCCGCGGUAAUACGAAGGGGGCUAGCGUUGCUCGGAAUUACUGGGCGUAAAGGGCGCGUAGGCGGACAGCUUAGUCAGAGGUGAAAGCCCAGGGCUCAACCUUGGAAUUGCGUUUGAUACUGGGUGUCUUGAGUGUGAGAGAGGUAUGUGGAACUCCGAGUGUAGAGGUGAAAUUCGUAGAUAUUCGGAAGAACACCAGUGGCGAAGGCGACAUACUGGCUCAUUACUGACGCUGAGGCUCGAAAGCGUGGGGAGCAAACAGGAUUAGAAACCCGAGUAGUCC